AUCCCCAGCGCCGCGGAUGCUGUCGGGCAGCGGCGGCCGCGGUGCCCGGCUCGCGGGGCCAUGGCGGCUCCGGACAGCUGCGUGAAGGUGGCCGUGAGGAUCCGUCCCCAACUGUCCAAAGAGAAAAUAGAGGGAUGUCACAUCUGCACCUCAGUGACACCCGGAGAGCCCCAGGUGCUAUUGGGGAAGGACAAGGCCUUCACCUAUGACUUUGUCUUUGACCUGGACACGUGGCAGGAGCAGAUCUAUACAACGUGUGUUGGCAAGCUCAUUGAAGGCUGCUUUGAGGGCUACAAUGCCACCGUGCUGGCGUAUGGACAGACUGGUGCUGGGAAGACAUACACCAUGGGCACUGGCUUUGACGUGAACAUCUCUGAGGAAGAGCAGGGCAUCAUCCCACGGGCCAUCAGCCACCUCUUCAGCGGCAUUGAGGAGCGCAAGCGCACAGCGCAGAGUCAGGGCAGGGCGGCUCCGGAGUUCAAAGUCAGUGCCCAGUUCCUGGAGCUCUACAAUGAAGAGAUCCUGGACCUGUUUGACAGUGCCCGUGAGCCUGAUGUACGCCAUCGCAAAUCAAACAUCAAAAUCCAUGAGGAUGCCAGUGGAAGCAUUUACACUACAGGGGUUACAUCACGCCUCAUCAACUCACAGGAUGAGUUGAUCCAGUGCCUAAAGCAGGGAGCUCUUUCCCGCACCACGGCCAGCACCCAGAUGAAUGUGCAGAGCUCCCGGUCCCACGCCAUCUUCACCAUUCACCUCUGCCAGAUGAGAGUGUGCGCCCGCCCGGAGCUGGUGAAUAGGGAGGUGACCAGCCUCCUGGAUGGAUCCCAGCCCACCACAGAGUAUGAGACCCUCACUGCCAAGUUUCACUUUGUGGACCUGGCUGGCUCAGAGAGGCUGAAGCGAACAGGUGCUACCGGUGAGAGGGCCAAGGAAGGCAUCUCCAUCAACUGUGGACUGCUGGCCCUGGGGAAUGUCAUUAGUGCCCUCGGAGACCAGAGCAAGAAGGUUGUGCACGUGCCCUACCGUGACUCCAAGCUCACCCGCCUGCUGCAGGAUUCCCUUGGGGGCAACAGCCAAACCAUCAUGAUCGCAUGUGUGAGCCCCUCUGACCGGGACUUCAUGGAGACCCUGAACACGCUCAAGUACGCCAACCGGGCCCGCAACAUCAAGAACAAGGUGGUGGUGAACCAGGACAAGACAAGUCAGCAGAUCAGUGCCCUGAGGGCCGAGAUCGCCCGCCUGCAGAUGGAGCUGAUGGAGUACAAGGCAGGUAAGCGGGUCAUUGGGGAGGAUGGCUCAGAAGGCUACAGUGACCUGUUCCGUGAGAACGCCAUGCUGCAGAAGGAGAACAGCACCCUGCGCAUGCGGGUAAAGGCCAUGCAAGAGGCCAUUGAUGCCAUCAACAGCAGGGUCACCCACCUCAUGAGCCAGGAGGCCAACCUCAUGCUGGCUAGGGCAGGAGAUGGUAAUGAAGCUAUUGGCACCCUCAUCCAGAACUACAUACGGGAGAUUGAAGAGCUGAGGACAAAGCUCCUGGAGAGUGAGUCCAUGAAUGAGUCCCUGCGUCGCAGCCUCUCACGCGUCUCUGCUCGGGCUCCUUAUUCCAUGGGCGCGUCCCCAGGCUCCAGCCUGACUGGGCUGUGUAGCCCUGCUGCACCGGUGGACACGGAGGCCUCCGAUGUCCUUCGGCGGGCCAAGCAGGACCUGGAGCGCCUCAAGAAGAAAGAAAGGAGGCAGCGGAGGAAGAGCCCAGAGAAGGAAGCAUUUAAGAAGAGGCAGAAACUGCAGCAGGACAAUGAGGAGGAGACUGAUGAGAACGAGGUGGAAGAGGAGGAAGAGGAGCAGGAUGAGAGUGGCUGUGAGGAGGAGGAUGGACGUGAGGAUGAAGACGAGGAUUCGGGCAGUGAAGAGAGCCUGGUGGACUCGGACUCAGAUGCAGAGGAGAAGGCCGUGAACUUCCAGGCUGACCUGGCAGAUCUGACUUGUGAGAUAGAGAUCAAGCAGAAGCUGAUCGAUGAGCUAGAGAACAGCCAGCGGCGCCUGCAGACCCUCAAGCACCAGUACGAGGAGAAGCUGAUCCUGCUGCAGAACAAGAUUCGGGACACGCAGCUGGAGCGGGACCGGGUCCUGCAGAACCUCAGUACUAUGGAGUGCUACACAGAGGAGAAAGCCAACAAGAUCAAAGCAGACUAUGAGAAGCGGCUGAAGGAGAUGAACCGGGACCUGCAGAAGCUCCAGGCAGCCCAGAAGGAGCAUGCUCGCCUGCUCAAGAACCAGUCCCGCUACGAGCGGGAGCUGAGGAAGCUGCAGGCAGAGGUGACCGAGAUGAAGAAGGCAAAGGUGGCACUGAUGAAGCAGAUGCGGGAGGAGCAGCAGCGCAGACGUCUGGCAGAGACAAAGAGGAAUCGGGAGAUAGCACAGCUCAAGAAGGAGCAGCGGCGGCAGGAGUUUCAGAUCCGGGCUCUGGAGUCUCAGAAGCGGCAGCAGGAAAUAGUGCUGCGGAGGAAAACUCAGGAGGUCUCCGCGCUGCGCCGCCUCGCCAAGCCCAUGUCUGAUCGGGUGGCAGGCAGGACGAGCCAGAAGCCAGCCAUGCUGGACUCAGGCGCUGAGGUCUCGGCUAGCACCACAUCCUCUGAGCCUGAGUCUGGCGCUCGCUCCGUCUCCAGCAUUGUGCGCCAGUGGAACAGGAAGAUCAACAACUUCCUGGGAGACCCCUCGUCCCCUGUGAACGGGGCUCGACCCCCCAGGAAGAAGUUCCCCAAGAAGGGGACGAGUCAGACCUUCAGCAAAGCCGCCCGCCUCAAGUGGCAGUCGCUGGAGCGGCGAAUCUUUGACAUCGUCAUGCAGAGAAUGACCAUCGUUAACCUGGAGGCUGACAUGGAGCGGCUCAUCAAGAAACGCGAGGAGCUGACCCUGCUGCAGGAAGCGUUGCUAGGCAAGAGGUCAAAACUGCAGGCAGAGAAUCCCAAGGGGCUGCAGGAGCUGAACGAGGAGAUCGAGGUGCUGGGGGCCAACAUUGACUACAUAAACGACAGCAUUUCUGACUGCCAGGCCACCAUCAUGCAGAUCGAGGAGACAAAGGAGGAGCUGGACUCCACAGACACCUCGGUGGUGAUCAGCUCCUGCUCCCUUGCCGAAGCCCGGCUCCUGCUGGACAACUUCCUGAAGGCCUCCAUCGACAAGGGGCUGCAGGUAGCACAGAAGGAGGCCCAGAUCCGCCUGCUGGAGGGGCGGCUGCGGCAGACAGACAUGGCCGGCUCCUCGCAGAACCACGCCAUCCUGGAUGCGCUGCGGGAGAAGGCCGAGUCGCACCCCGAGCUGCAGGCCCUGAUCCACAAUGUCCAGCAAGAGAACGGCUACACCAGCACGGAUGAGGAGGUCUCAGAGUUCAGCCUGGCUUCAGAUGGGAGUGUCUCCCAGUCUUUCACCAUGAAGGGUUCAGCAAGCCAGGAUGACUUCAAGUUCAAGGGAGAGCCCAAGCUCUCGGGGCAGAUGAAGGCAGUGUCAGCUGAGUGUCUAGGACCCACGCUGGAUGUCUCCACCAAGAACAUCACCAAGUCCCUGGCAUCCCUCAUGGAGAUCAAAGAGGAUGGGAUCAGCUUCUCUGUCAGAGACCCCUAUUACAAGGAGAAAGUGUCACGCACCAUCAGCCUGCCCACACGAGGAAGCACCUUUCCCAGGCAGUCUCGUGGCUCGGACACUUCACCUCUGACCAGGAGGAAAUCCUACGACCGUGGCCAGCCUGCCAGGCCUCCAGACGCUGGCUUCACGCCUCCCUCAUCCCCACCUACCCGUCCACGCAAUGACCGCAAUGUCUUCUCUCGUCUCACGAGCAACCAGAGCCAAGGGUCUGCCCUGGACAAGUCUGAUGACAGCGAUUCCUCUGUCUCGGAGGUGCUGAGGGGUGUCAUUAACCCGGUGGGUGGCACCAAGAAUGCCCGGACAGCCCCGCUGCAAUGCGUCUCCAUGGCAGAAGGACACACGAAACCUGUGCUCUGCCUGGAUGCCACUGAUGAGCUGCUAUUCACUGGGUCCAAAGACCGAAGCUGCAAAAUGUGGAACCUGGUAACAGGCCAAGAAAUUGCUUCUCUCAAGGGUCACCCAAACAAUGUGGUUUCCAUCAAGUACUGCAGCCACACGGGGCUGGUGUUCACUGUGUCUACAUCAUACAUCAAAGUGUGGGACAUCCGGGACUCAGCCCGCUGCAUCCGCACCCUCACGUCUUCUGGACAGGUGAUCUCUGGGGAUGCCUGUGCUGGGACCAGCACCCGCAUGGUCACCAGUGUGCAGGGGGAGCACCAGAUCAACCAGAUUGCUCUGAACCCCAGUGGCACCAUGCUCUAUGCUGCCACUGGGAACUCCGUCCGCAUCUGGGAGCUGAGCAGGUUGCAGCCCAUCGGGAAGCUGAGUGGCCACAUCGGGCCUGUGAUGUGUCUCACAGUAAACCAGACGGCGAGCAACCACGACCUGGUGGUCACAGGCUCCAAAGAUCACUAUAUCAAGGUAUUUGAGAUUGCUGAGGGCAUGGUGGGCAAUAUUGGCCCCACUCACAACUUUGAGCCCCCUCACUACGAUGGCAUCGAGUGCCUGGCCAUCCAGGGAGACAUCCUCUUCAGCGGCUCCAGGGACAAUGGCAUAAAGAAGUGGGAUCUGGAGCAGCAGGAACUUAUCCAGCAAAUCCCCAAUGCCCACAAAGACUGGGUGUGUGCCCUGGCUUUCAUUCCCGGCCGCCCCAUGGUGCUGAGCGCUUGCCGAGGAGGCAUGAUCAAAGUGUGGAAUGUGGACACCUUCACCCCCAUUGGGGAGAUCAAGGGACACGACAGCCCCAUCAACGCCAUCUGCACCAACUCAAAGCACAUCUUCACUGCCUCCAGUGACUGCCGGGUAAAGUUAUGGAAUUACGUGCCUGGGCUCACCCCUUGCCUUCCACGACGCGUCCUUGCCAUAAAGGGCCGUGCUACUAGUCUGCCUUGACCCUUCUGCUCUUUCUCUCUUGCUCAUGCAGUCUUCUUCUGUCUUUUCUUCCCUUUUCUCUUUCUCUCCAUCUUUUUCUCCCUCUGUCUUUCUGUCGCUUGCUUUCACUCCUCUCUCCCUCCCCCUCUCUCUUUUUCUUCCCUUCUCUCUGGUCUGAGCUGCUUCUUCACGUGACUUGACAGUGAAGCUCUGGAGCGGGAGGAGGUUACCCACAGGGUCCAACUAGAAGCUGCAAAGACUGGAGGACAUAACAGGAGGGUGAAGGUCAAGGUACCUCUCCCUCACGAUCAAGAUCUGGUCAUCUCUGGGAGCUCAGUCCAGGGAUAGGGAUUUGUUUGUGCAUGAUCCGGUGGGGCGGACGAUGCCCCGUCUGGUACUUUGACCACUACUAGCUCCUGUGAGAAGGCAGCUCCGCAGGGCAUCAUCAGCUCCACCUUCCCUCCCGUUGAGGUUUCUUGAUGGUUUUCCAGUGACCAUGAAGUAUUUCAGCUCUUUUCUCACCCACUCUGCUGUAAAGCCUGAUGGAAAUUGUGGGCAUCAGAGCUCCUUGGCUUCUUCUGAGACACCCCCUUGCCUCCAUGGGCUUAUGUGGCUUCCACCAUGAUGUGCUGCUUCUGUCCCUGUUGGCCAUGGGGCUGUUUCCUGCAGGAGUCUUUCUGCACUCCACAGCCACAAGGACAUUUGGUGUCUGCUGGACAGGACCACAGCAUAGAGGGGCUGUCUUUGGAGCCAUUACCUGUGGGACAGCCUCUCUGCUGUGGGCAGUCUGGAGAAGGAUUUCCAGGUAAUCCCAUCAUUCCACAUUCUCCAUCUACCUGUUCCCAGCAGUUGGAGGUGGGCACCUCUGAAUUCCUUUGCCGUGUCCCAGCUGUGGAUGUACAGCAAGCCUGGGAACAUCUCCAUCAGUCAACUUACAGACAAACCUGCUGCAGUUCCCUUUGAUGUUCUCUAAACUCCAGUCAUAAUUCCAGUCAUAAACUCAGCUGACCCAUGGCUCAUGGGCUCUUGCCCUAGUGCUCUGCAGUGGGGAAAGGCUGCUUAACCCUGCUCUUGACAACCUGGCCCUCAGCAGGGCUUCUGUGGUAGGUUCCUGCAGCAUGCUGACCCCCUUGAGAUAGAGAAACAAAGAACAGAGGUUACAGGGCAAAGAAGCCAAGGCUGGAUUCAUCACCAUCAUCCCUGUGAUUCAUCUUAUUCUGGAAGCUGUAAAUCCUUCCUCCAGGCUCUGCUCUUAGUCCUCUGCCUGGGAAGGACUAGCUCAGGUUUGGCCCAUUGGCCCCAUGGAUCUGGAAGCCACAGAAGGCCAAGCCAAGGCAUGGAGCAGCCGGAGGAUGGGCCAGGUUGGCCUCAGCUGUGCCAGCAGCAGGGUGAGGAAGGGGCAGCACACACUCAUCUCGCACAAGUCCCCUGAUUCACCCCUUGCUUGAAGGACAAUCCUGCAGUGGAUGAUCUUGCACAGUCCAAUCUCCAUGAAAAGCUGGGGACUCUGUUCAGGACUCUUUUCCCAGGGAUGUAGCUUCUGCAGGCUUCCUCCUCCUCUGGCUCCAGGGCAUGCAAGGCCUUGGUCUCACACUGGAGUUUUUCUCCAUCAGUCCUGUUGUAUCGUCUCCUGCUCUGUCCAGCCCUGGGCCAAGCAGGGCUUCUCCUGCCAUGGGCAAGGAGAACCUGGUGUUCUCUGUCACAGAAGAAGCAGCAUUUGAACUCAAAUUUAAGGAUUUCUUCAUGAGACCCCACCAGCAAUGAACUGGGAUCUCAGAGGCCACAGGAGGUUCAGGACCUGCCCCACAGACCAUUUUCCCUCUGCUUUUUCCAACCAUGGUGACUCUUGGACCACCCCCAGCUCGUUUUGGGGGAAAAGCCCAUCCUACUGGCUUGCCUUUGUGGCGGGUGUGAUGCGUGUGUGUGUGUUGUGUAUGACCAUGCCCAGUUCAAUGAGCAGUCCCUGGUGAUCAUGUCUGAGCCCUGCAUUGAGGUGAGGAGCCCUCCUGCCAUGGCUGAUGGAGAAGUGAGUGUAAGGCACAGACAUGGGGGCCUCAGGAGGUGUCACCCUCCUUGGAAAGGGUUUCCCUGCUCAUUCCUGAGCUGGCGGAAGCUUUGCUUGGCUGGAAUGGGUGGUGUGGAUGUGUGUAUUUGGGCAGAGAUGUGUGUUUGAGUGUCUGUAAUUGGGUGUACCAUAUGCAUCAAUGUCUGCAUCAAUGUCUGCACCAAGAUCUGCCAGUGCCUGAUGUGGAACCUCUCACUGCUCCCUGCCGAAGUCGAUGAAGGAACCUGCUCUUGGGGGACUCUUGGAGUCAGACCUUUCCUUUCACAACCAGUUUCUUCUUGUGUGUAGGCUGCAAGUGCCUGCUUUAUUUCCCAAGGCUGAGUGCUCAGUCCUGCCUGAUGCUGAGCAUCCACCUCGCUGCUGCAUCCAGGAGCACGUUGAGGGGGCCUCAAGGCGCUUGCAGCCUGCAGGUGCUGCAGCACAGCAGCAAGUGACUGGAUAGGGGGUCUCUGAGGAGAGGGAUAACUGUGAUCCUAUAGCUGUGUGUGUGUGUGUGUGUGUGUGUUUUAGUAUCUGUGUGGGUUGGUAUCUCUCAUGCACAAGAGCAUUUCUCGGGUGUUGAUCUGGUUUAGCUACCUCACGGUGCAAGCUGGGUGCUGUUGUCACUGGGUUUGUGUUGGGAAUGGGGUGGGGAGUGUGUGUGCUGUUAGGAUUUUCUCUUCUCUCAAUUAUUGUUAUGGUUUUUCACACUUGAAUUCAUGCUGGGGACACAUGGCCUCACCCCCACCUCACUGUAUGUCUGAACUGCCCCUCAUGCAGCAGGAUUCCCCCCAGCUGAGUCACAGCACUGAGGUUUUCCUCCUGUGGCUGGUGGGGUGAUCGGGCUGACCUCAGCUUUGUUGCUAUUACUGUGUUGAUCUGCAGUGCGGAAGUGGUCCCUCUUGUCCCCUUGCAGGAUGGAAAGGGACCUAUGAAAGGCUCAGCUCAAUCUGGAUUCCUGCCUCUGUUCUAAGAGGGUGCAGUGAAGCCCUUCUUGUGUUCAGAAUGUCCAUGCAAGGCACAUCACUGGAAUGAACUGUUCCCCAUUUUCCAGAGCCUGCAGCCUGGAGCAGCAGGGAACUGGUCCUGUAAAAGCCUCUGUCCAGGUCUGUGAAAGAACAUCAUUCUCAUGUAUGAUGUUUGAUUAUUUUAUUCCCAAACCAUAGUUGAAUCUAGAUCCAGUCCCAGACACUGAACGUAAACCAGGGUAAACCUGGAGCCCCAGAUUCCCCACUGUCUGGGGUUGGGAAGCUGACACAGAGUUGUAUUCUGCUUUCCUGGCACAAUGGGGUUUGGAAAGUGGCUCACAGCUCUGAGCCACACUCUGAGCCAGUUUAGGUGGGGCAGGUUCCCCCAAACACUAAAGCACAAUGUCCCAACAUGAAGGUGGUCCAGCAAGGGUGGUGCCUGGGACUCUGGUCCUUCAGAGCCAUGGACUUAGACAGCCAAGGUGGAGAUGGGCUCAGGUGAGGGCUCUUUGUGUGCUGGAGGAAGCAGGUGAGCUGAGUCAUCCUUUGCACUGUGCUGGGGAGCUCCUCUGGGGCUCAGACUUGCACAGCUUAAGUACUUUCUUGUGGCUUCUGAAUCCCUCUGCCAUUGCAGGGACAGUUUCAAGCUGCCUUUGCACCAUGCACCUCAUUUUGCUUUGCCCUUGGGUGCAUUGGUUUGAUACCUGCAGUCCAGAGAAGUCCUUCCCUUCCUCAAAUCACUGGGUGCUGCUUUUGUACCCGGGGCCUGACUCUUGCCCCCUGGGUUUCCCCACUCCAGCACACAGGGGCCAGCUCCUGCCUCUGCUGCGGGCACAGAGCUGGCCCAGAGCUGAGCUUUGCACACAAGGGUCCCCAAACCACUCUGAGCCCCCCAGGAAGCCUGGGCACUGCCCCAUCCGUGGCACUCGCAGCCCUUGUGGCACAGAAGGACAAGUGGGUGCUGCAUCUCCCAGCCUGGCCAGCUGUGAGGAGCUGGGCUCUGCGGUCCUGUCCCCUUCCCUGUUCUUCCCUCUAAGCACAGCUGCUUUAAGGUCUCAGAGUCUGCCUUCUGCCUUGGUGCUGCAGAACCAGUGCCUGCUCCCCAGGGUGCUCUCCCAGUGCCCCUAUCCCUGACCUUCUUCCCUUGUCCCAUAUGGGACAGGGUGCAGGUACAAUCUCUGCAGAGCAUAGAGCUCCCAUCUGCUUUUCAGCAAGCUCACAGCCUAGAGGCUGCAACACCCUCCCUGAGCCCCCUGCUUCCUGCAGAGGGAAGGGAACUCCUGGCCCUCCUGGUGUUCCAGCUGGAAGUGGGAGGGAGCCCAGCACAGCCCCAAUCCCCCAGGCCCUGGUCUGGCUUCCUAGGGCUCACCCAUAGAAAAGCACAGCCCUGUAUCUUCCUCCUGCCCAGGGGGGCUUUUGCCUUCAUCCUUAACAGCUCUGCCUGGUACCUGCCAGCUCUUCCACAUGCCCUGUGCCCUGGGAUCACCCAGCACCCUUCAGUCCAGUCCUGGGGAGGGCUCAGGCAGCGUCAGCUUCACGUCACCUGCUCAUUCACCCCUUCCUGCUGCAGAAGCAUUGCAAAUAGCAGGUGCCUUCUCUUGCUCAGAGCUGUUUUCUAGAGGCCAACUCUUGUGAAGGUGUGUUUUUUGUCUCUGCUGGGUCAUGCAGCCCAGCCCAGCAGUCUGGGUAUGUCAGAGGACAAGGCAUGUACAUAUAUUUUAUACCUCGAUGUGUUCCUGUAAAUAGUGUAAGUUAUUUUGGUCUCAUGAUGUACAUGUUUUUACACUGGUUGUGGUUGGUCCUUGCCUUUUUGUCCUCACAAAUAUAAUGUGCUGAGAUGAA